rnacentral:rRNA from 1 species
GAUGAACGCUAGCGGGAGGCUUAACACAUGCAAGUCGAGCGGGAGGGGUAGCAAUACCCCAAGAGCGGCGCACGGGUGCGUAACGCGUAUGCAACCUGCCUUAUACAGGGGGAUAGCCCAUGGAAACGUGGAUUAAUAUCCCAUAGUACUUUUGAAUCGCAUGAUUUAGGAGUUAAAGCUGAGGUGGUAUAAGAUGGGCAUGCGUCUGAUUAGGUAGUUGGUAGGGUAACGGCCUACCAAGCCGACGAUCAGUAGGGGUUCUGAGAGGAUUACCCCCCA